AAAUUGAAGAGUUUGAUCAUGGCUCAGAUUGAACGCUGGCGGCAGGCCUAACACAUGCAAGUCGAACGGUAACAGGAAACAGCUUGCUGUUUCGCUGACGAGUGGCGGACGGGUGAGUAAUGUCUGGGAAACUGCCCGAUGGAGGGGGAUAACUACUGGAAACGGUAGCUAAUACCGCAUAACGUCGCAAGACCAAAGAGGGGGACCUUCGGGCCUCUUGCUAUCGGAUGUGCCCAGAUGGGAUUAGCUAGUAGGUGGGGUAACGGCUCACCUAGGCGACGAUCCCUAGCUGGUCUGAGAGGAUGACCAGCCACACUGGAACUGAGACACGGUCCAGACUCCUACGGGAGGCAGCAGUGGGGAAUAUUGCACAAUGGGCGCAAGCCUGAUGCAGCCAUGCCGCGUGUAUGAAGAAGGCCUUCGGGUUGUAAAGUACUUUCAGCGGGGAGGAAGGGAGUAAAGUUAAUACCUUUACUCAUUGACGUUACCCGCAGAAGAAGCACCGGCUAACUCCGUGCCAGCAGCCG
rnacentral:rRNA from 1 species